rnacentral:rRNA from 1 species
UACGGAGGGUGCAAGCGUUGUUCGGAAUUACUGGGCGUAAAGCGCGUGUAGGCGGACAAGGUAGUCGGGUGUGAAAGCCCUGGGCUUAACCCGGGAAGUGCGCCCGAAACCACUUGUCUGGAGUCUCGGAGAGGAUCGGGGAAUUCCCAGUGUAGAGGUGAAAUUCGUAGAUAUUGGGAGGAACACCGGUUGCGAAAGCGCCGAUCUGGACGAGCACUGACGCUAAGACGCGAAAGCGUGGGGAGCAAACAGG